GGAAUCACCAGGCUGAAGGCUUAGCUGAAGUUAAAAGACAAGUAAAAAUGCCUCCAAACUGUAAAACCUGAGUUGGGGAAUAAAUGGUAAAAUGUGUAAAAAUUUAGAAAAAGGUUAUAUGUGGACUGUAAAAAAUACACUGGACUCACAGGUAAUUAAGGGGUGAAUCAGAGUUGUUUCCUAAAUGGCAUAAGCCAAACUCUUAGAUAUUUCUACCAUUAGCUAAAAGGCAGAGAAGCACUCUCUCUCUCUAUUAAUGCACUUUUAAAAAUGAAAAUUGUGAAGUGUUCUGCCCUUAAAGUGGACCUUUAUUUCAGGUCUGCAUUACUUUGCUUAAUAGAUAUGGUCCUAAAGAUUAAGGUGGUGAUCCAUUUUAUCUUGUAAAAAUGCAUAAUUUAAUCUGAGUUAUAGGAAUUUAAAGCUGCCCUACUUUGAAGGCCUUUGUGACUCAAAGAUUUUUUUAAUUUAAUUUUUAAAUUGAGAAUUACCUGGCUUGGGCUUUUGGUCUUUUUAUAAUACGUAUUGCUGUCUACUUUUUUUUUUAUUCUUGGCUGCCUCAAGCUAUUCUUGCCUCCAAAAGGUGUCAGCAUAUGAAUAAAAACAGCAGAAAAUAAUUACCCUAAUUAGGUCAAUGUAUUAAGCUGUUUCUACAACUGUUUCUCUUAAACACCUUAUCUUUGUAGUCUUGGCUCAUUAGAAAUUCGACUAGUGGUAAGUAUUUAUUUUUUUCCUUCAAGGGGGUUUUUGCUUUGCUAAGCCUCGGGCAUUUGGUUCGUGCAAGAAAUCACAGAAACUGCUCCAGCGGACUCCGAAAGGAGCGGAAAAUUCUUUUGUUUGGGGGCCAUGAGGGGUGGGGGAGGGGUGGGGAUUCUGGUGUAAGCUUUUGGCUUGCAUUCGCUUUCUCCCUCCGAAAGUGGGCGACAUCAAGCAAGUCCCAGUUACAGAAAGAACCCACUGCAGGGCGUCCAGUCACUUGCCCAGUGAAAAGACUGUAAUCAGACAACUUUAAUAAAGGGAGAGCAGGAGAGUGGUGACGAAUUUCCACAUUCCGAACAAGCUUGUCGAAAGAGGAGUGCAGGGAAGGAGCAAGAAUGAGGCACUGGAAGACGGCUGUAGGCGCAUGAUGUCACAAGUUAUUGGAAGAAAUCCCUCCAACCUAGGUUGGGACAGAUGAAGGCGGCGCUUAUUGGUGUUCACCAAAACACCAGCAUGGUGUACCAGCUUUGGCUAGAUGAUGCUCAGACGGGCCUGUCUAAUUGCAGGAAAACAAACUCAGGGCUCCCACUGAUUCUACAUUACGAACACCAGAGACUGGGUAAUUAAUAAAAAGAAGAAAUUGAUCUGGCCUACAGUUCUGGAGCCUUGGAAGUCCGAGAUCAAGGAGCUGCAUCUGGGUUCUAGGAUGCCUCAUAAAGGCCCGUAGUGUACUUUCUGUCUACUUCACUUAGCUCCGCAUUUGCAAUUUCUGUUAACAUGCAUACAGUUGAAUGGAUGGCCAGGAUCAAAGCUAUCUGCUGUGAGACACAAUGAGAAAUGCUUUUGUGUAAAGGAAAACACAGAUCCUGGUGCCGAACAUGAGGACAGGGCAGGCCGAAGGAGAAAGUGGAAGGAGGGGAGCUUCUCUCUCAGCCUCAUCCUUCUGGGCCUGGAUGCUGGAGAGUCAUGAGGUGCUUCAGAGUACUCUGGGUGAGGAGGGAAAGAUGGUGCCCACCACAUGGAGGCCAGCCUAGGUCUUGUAUGAAACCUGUGAGGCCAGCAGGAGCCAGGCCGUGGCCUGCUGACUGCAUCUGCCAGAUGACUACCAAUGUGAGAUUCUCUCUCCCUUGCUGUCUUUGAAAAAGCAAGUUGCCAUGUGAAGAGGGCCAUAUAGCAUAGGAGCUGAAGGCAGCCUCCAACUGACGGCAAGAAAAUGAGGUCCUCAGUCUGACAACCUGCAAGAAACUGAAUGUUCUAAAAGCCACAUGAGCUUGGGAGCAGAUCUGACCCCAGCCAAAUCUCUGAAGUCCGCAGGCAGGAAAUGAAGAUCAGAAAAAGGCUAUUGUCUCAUGAAUAUGAGCCAGACUCCACAGAAGCUGGAGUCCUUCAUUAUGGAGCUAAACACAUACACCUGGCUUAGGAGUCAGAAAAACUGAAAGAGAAUUCAGGGAAGUAGAGAAAUUGCAAGCCCAGAUGCUGCUUCAUACCAAAGAAGCAAGUCAGCAGGUCAGCAACAAUGUGUAUCAGUUCCAAAAUGACUUACACAGGUACCAAGACAAGACAUUAUAUACACUUAUAUAGUCAAAUACUUUAAAACUGUUAACAAACUUGCUACAAUUGUCUCAUUUGUCUUUUAACCUUAAUAUCACAGAUCAAGUUUGUAAUCUCAAAAGUUCACCCUGGCUGCUGUGUGGAGUAUUCUCUUAUCUGCUCAUAUUACACUGUGCUUAUUCAUUCAUCAGUUAAUGGAAAUUUGGGUUGUUUCCUGAUUUUGACUGUAAUGAAUAAUGUUGCUGUAAACAUUCAUGUACAGUUUUGUGUGGACAUGCUUUUCUUUCUCUUGGGUAGGUUCCUAUGAGUGGAAUCACUAGAUUGUAUGGUAAAUGUAUGUUUAACUUUUAAAGAAACUGUCAAACUGUUUUCUAACAUGAACGGGCCAUUUUACGUUCUUAUCAACAAUAUAUGAUGGUUUCAAUUUUCCCACAUCCUCACCAACAUUUGGUAUUGUCUCUCUUUUACAUCAUAACUAUUUUAGUGGGGAUGUAGUGAUAUCUUAUCGUGGUUUUAAUUUGUGUCUCCCUAAUGACUAAUGAUAUUGUGCAUCUUUGCAUAUGCUUGUUAGCCAUUUAUGUACAUUCUUUAGUGAAAUGGCUAUUCAAAUCUUCUGCCCAUUUAAAAAUCGAGUUGUUUUUCUUAUUAUUCAGUUGUAAGAGUUUUUUCUUUAUUCUGUGCAAAAGUCCUUUAUCAAGUCUAGGAUUUUUGAAUAUUUUCUCAACCUAGAGCUUGUUUUUCAACAUUUUUUUCUUAAUGAUCUUUUGAAGUGCAAAAGUUUGAUUUUGAUGAAGUCUAAUGUAUCACUUCUUCCUUUAACUGUCAUGAUUUUUGUGUCGUAUCUAAGAACUCUUUACCCAACUCAAAGUUACCAAGGUAUUUUCUUCCAGAAGUUUUGCAGUUUUAACUCUUCUAUAUAGGCCUGUGAUCCAUUUUUAAUUCAUUUUUUGCAUAUGAUGUGAGAGAAGGGCCUAAGUUCAUAUUCGUACAUGUGGAUGUACAAUGGUUCCAGGAUCACUUGCUGAGAAAAGACUAUCCUUUCCCCAUUGAUUUUUUUGGCACCUGUGUCAAAAAUCAAUUGACCAUAAAUGCAAGCGUUUAUAUCUGAACUCUCAGUUCUUCUCCAUUCAUCUCUAAGGAUAUGUCUAUGCUUACAUCAAUAUCACAGUGUAUUCAUGUGGCUUUGUAGUAAAUUUUGAAAUUGGGUGAUAGAAGUCUUUCAAUUUUGUUCUUAGUUUUCAGAAUAGUUUUGGCUGUACUUUGCAUUUUGAUACAAAUUUUAGGAUGUAUGUGUGAAGUUUUACAAAAAUGCUUGCUGGAGUUUUGAUAGGAAUUGUGUUGAACCUAUAGAUCUAUUUGAGGGGGGAAUUGCCAUCUUGACAAGCUUGAGUCUUCCAAUCCAUGGACAGGGAAUGUCUCCAUUUAUUUAAAUCUUCAUUAAUUUUUCUUAGUAACGUUUCACAAUUUUUAGCGUACAAGUCUUAAACUUUUAUUACAUUUAUUUCUGUUUAUUCUUUUUGAGGCUUUGUGAAUAGAAUUUUUUUAAUUUUAUUUUUUGGGCUUGACAUUGCUGAUAUAUACAAAUACAAUAGAUUUUUAAAAUACUGAUCUUAGAUCCUGCAGCUUUGCUAAAUUCUUCGAUUAGUUCUAGAUAUUUUGUGUAUAGAUUCCUUGGUGUUUUCUAUACGCAAGAUUAUGCCAUCUGCAAAUAGAAGCAGUUUUAAUUCUUCCUUUACUCUCAGUCUGCUUUUAAUGAGCUAUUAUGUCUUCUGUUCUGUAUUGGUCAAACCCUCACCUGGAUCACAGUAUUUAUUACUGACCAUCACAGUUUCCUUGAGGAAAUGAAAAAAAUUAAAAAGAUAAAGUAACUAUUACCAUAAUCCCUACAUUCGGACACAAUAUUUAUGAGCAUGUGGGGUAAAUUCUUCCAGACACUCUUGCUAGAGGACGUGUAGCAGAGCUUAUGAUGCACUGAGCCACAUCCUCCAGCCACCAGAUUCCAGUGUAGCUGUGGUGAACUUUGCCUUGCACUUUACCAGUGUCCAUAUAAGCUCAUAUCACAGUGUCUUUCUGUUUUGCUUUCUGGAGGUCAGGGAAGCCUGCUGAGCUAUAUGUAGACCCAACCCAUAUUUUCAAGGUAAUACUCCUUAGUUGAUAGAAGCCCUCAGUCGAUGGGAACAGGAUUUCAUGGAUUAAUGCCCCAGCUCCCCCAUCCUGCAGGACAUAGAAUGUGUGACUAUCCAAGAUGCUUGCAACAUGGUUUCUCAGAGUUCCCAAUGGAAUUGAAUCCCAGCUGCAUACAACUGUAACCCACUCAUUUAUUAACUUUUCUCCCUUCCUCUUUCCCUUCACUUCUGUUUCCUAAGACUACUUCCCUCUAAAUGAUCUGCACCCAAGUCCUUGUCUCAAGGUCUUCUAGAGAAACCCAAACUAAGGCAGUUUGUCAAGGGACAAACUAGGGUACAUCUUUGAAACAGUCAUUAGGAGAGUGAGAGGUCCUGCAACGAUGUAAUAUAAAAGCAGUGAAAAUAGCUGAGAAAAUUAGAAAAAGAGAAAACUUACAGGAAUAAUCAUAGUCAUCUUUAAAUACCUGCAAAGUAAUCAGAUAUAAGAGGACCAAAGGAGACACUGGUUUUAACUGAGCACCUUCCAGGUUAUAUACUAGCUACUAUGAAGUGUAUUUAUUCCAUCCUUACAGCAACCCAGAGGCAAUGAGAACUACCCUUAUUUUUCAAAUAAGAAAACUGAGACACAGAUGAUUAAGGAAUUUGCCAAGGUCCAAAGCUAACAGGUAUUGGAACUAGGAUUCAAAUCCAAGCCUGUCUGCCCCCUAACCUGUGUCUUGCUGCUGUGUGUUUUGCUUUGAAGGGCAAAACAGAGACCAGCAGGUAGACAUUCUAAAUCCAUAGAAUUGUGUUUAUAUGAAUGCAGUGUGUGGCAGAGAUUGUCUAGAUGUUCAUCAAUGCUGUUUUCUCUGUUCUGUUUCUGGACAUACAGGAACACUUCAUGUCCUAGCCUCCUUUAUAAGUAGAUUGGGGCCAUGUAACAGGGUUCUGGCAAAUGGGAAUGUGCAGAUGUGAUAUGUGAUGCUCCUGAUUCAUUCAUUCUGUCUCUUUCUCUCUCUCCCUCUCAGCUAGCUGAAAGCAGAGAACCCAGCAGAGGAUUCUGGGAAGGUCCUGGGGGAUGGCAGAGCCAGCAGAGAGAGGGUAUGGAUCCACCAGGCAUAGGAUGGAACAGAGCACUAUUGACCACAGUGAACUGGGGCAUGGGCAAUCAAUAAACACAUAUUAGAUUAAGCUAUUGAGACUCAGGGAUUUUUAUACAACUGACAUUCCCUAAGAAGCCAUGAUCUUCCUGUCUCAGGAGGUGCAUAAGCAGUGGUUGAAUGUUCAACAGUCAAGAAUGUUAUAAAAAGAGGUUCUUGGGAGAGUGGACCUGAUGGCCAGCAAAAAUCAUAGCUCACAUUUAUUGAGUUAUUAUGGCUCAGGCAUGUGCACAUAUUCUUUUAUUUAAAUCUACAAUAUGCUUUAUCAUGCUCAUUUUAUACAUGAGGAACACAAGGCAUGGAGAGGUUAGAUAACAUGCCUAAGAUCAUGAAGCAAGCAAGGGGGAGAAAAGAUACCCUUCUCACUCCUUCCAGACAGCUCACUUCACCACCACUCCCCACUGUCUCUAAAGCAAAAGUUAUUUGAAGGCUUAGGGACUGGUUUGGUAUUAUCCAUGCAGGGCGGUUUGUUUUGUUUUUCUUUUAAAAUUUCAGCCUAUGCUUAAAAGAUUUCAUGUAAAAAUUCUGUUUUCUAGUUUCUCUUGAAAAUUAAGAAGAUCUGGUAAAACUGGGCUUGAAGACCAUUAUGGUAACAGGCUGCUGAAGCUGAGGAGAGGGCCCCUUCAGAUGGGCAUAAGCACUGCUCCCCCUCCCCAACCCCCCUUUUAGGUUACUAUCAGACUCUGGAAGCUUCUGAAUGUGUGAACCCUGAAAGAGUCCAUCUAAAGCUAAGUUCUCCCCAGGGGUAGAGCCCAAUGCUGGGCAUACAGUAGGG
rnacentral:lncRNA from 10 species